GGAAUUGUUCGCAAUGGGCGCAAGCCUGACGACGCAACGCCGCGUGGAGGAUGAAGAUCUUCGGGUCGUAAACUCCUGUCGAGCGGGACGAAUGCUCUGCGGAUGAAUAAGCCGCAGGGGUGACGGUACCGCUAAAGGAUGCCCCGGCUAACUCCGUGCCAGCAGCCGCGGUAAUACGGAGGGUGCGAGCGUUGUCCGGAAUCACUGGGCGUAAAGGGCGCGUAGGUGGUCAGGUAAGGGUGUGGUGAAAGUCCGGGGCUCAACCCCGGAUCUGCCGUGCCGACUGCUUGACUGGAGCAUUGCAGAGGCAGAUGGAAUUCCGGGUGUAGCGGUGGAAUGCGUAGAGAUCCGGAAGAAGACCGGUGGCGAAGGCGAUCUGCUGGGCAAUGGCUGACACUGAGGCGCGACAGCGUGGGGAGCAAAC
rnacentral:rRNA from 1 species